UACGAAGGGGGCUAGCGUUGCUCGGAAUUACUGGGCGUAAAGGGCGCGUAGGCGGACAGUUUAGUCGGGGGUGAAAGCCCGGGGCUCAACCUCGGAAUUGCCUUCGAUACUGGCUGUCUUGAGUACGGGAGAGGUGUGUGGAACUCCGAGUGUAGAGGUGAAAUUCGUAGAUAUUGGGAGGAACACCAGUGGCGAAGGCGGCUCACUGGACCGGAACUGACGCUGAGGCGCGAAAGCGUGGGGAGCAAACGGG
rnacentral:rRNA from 1 species